UGUGUAGGUACUCCCAUGUGGGGGAUGGACGUGGGGACAAAGGAAAUGUUCCAAAUGACAGAAAAUUUCUCAGUUAAAAUCCUAGGUUAGUUGACAUUGAAAAUAACGAGAGGAAGCAUUAAAUAAAAACUGGCAUUAAUACAGUGCCUUUCAUGACCUCCAUAGGUACAAAGCAUUUUACAACCAAUGAGAUGCAAAAAUGACAGUACGUUAACAAGAUCACAUUACAGUAAAUCAACAAGAUUAGUACAAAAGGUAAAUCGUGAACUAGUGAGGUGAGAUGAUGGGGGCCCAUAAUUACGACCAGCCUUUUUCUCAAGAGACUUCUCAAGAACACCUGAUUUAAAUUUAAAUUGAUAAAAAGAUAAAUCUGUAAGCUUUGUAUUGAACUGAUGUCAUGACGCUGAAGCAAGCAUCUGCCCAAGUUUGGUUAUUCCACUGUUAAAGUCAACCAUGCCGAAAUGGAGAUAGCUGAGAGCUUUAGAUACCCAGGCAUAAAUAUUACCAACAAUUUGUCCUGGACCAAUCAAUUUGUAGCUAUGGAAAUGAAAGCAUAUCAAUGCCGAUACAAGACUAAGGGAGUUCGACAUGUCUCCAACGAUUCUUACCAACUUCUACUGAUGCAUCAUAGAAAGCAUCUUAUAAGGAUGAGUCACCGCUUGGUUUGUCAACUGCUCCAACUAAGACCACAAGAAAUUGCAGAGUUGUGGAUGUAGCCCAGUCCAUCACACAAACCAGACUCCUUUUGCGAAAGCAGCCAGCAUAACCAAGGACCGUUUAUACCCCAGGCACUCUAUCUUCGUCUCUCUCCCAUCGGGCAGAAGAUAUAAAAGCUUGGAAAGCAUGUACCAACAGAUAAAGGAACAGCUUAUUCCCUGCAUGUAUCUGACCAUAGAACAGCCCUACCUUAAGUUAAGGGCAAAGUCCUGCUCAUCCAACUUACAUAGCAAAGUCUCACAGACAGCAUUAUUACAGUUACAAGAUAAUUUUAGUGAAAUUGGGGGGCAUGAGAAAAAUAUUUUCACUAUGAAGCUACAAGACAAAACAUUAUUUGUUACUAAAAUCAGCAACUCACGGAUUCCAGCCCAAAUC